rnacentral:rRNA from 1 species
ACCCGCUGAACUUAAGCAUAUCAAUAAGCGGAGGAAAAGGAACCAACAGGGAUUGCCUUAGUAACUGCGAGUGAAGCGGCAAAAGCUCAAAUUUGAAAUCUGGUGCCUUCGGCGCCCGAGUUGUAAUUUGGAGAGACAUCUUCGGAGUAGACGCCGUCCUAAGUUCCUUGGAACAGGACGUCACAGAGGGUGAGAAUCCCGUGCCUGGAUGGCUGUUCUACUUCAUGUGAAGUGUCUUCGACGAGUCGAGUUGUUUGGGAAUGCAGCUCAAAAUGGGAGGUAAAUUUCUUCUAAAGCUAAAUAUUGGCGAGAGACCGAUAGCGCACAAGUAGAGUGAUCGAAAGAUGAAAAGCACUUUGAAAAGAGAGUUAAAAAGUACGUGAAAUUGUUGAAAGGGAAGCGCUUGAGACCAGACUCGACCAGUGGUGAUCAGCGGUGCUUCUGUGCCGUGCACUUGCCAUUGGUUGGGCCAGCAUCGGUUUGGACGGCGGGAUAAAGACCUAAGGAAUGUGGCUCCCUCCGGGGAGUGUUAUAGCCUUGAGUGCAAUGCCGCCAGUCUGGACCGAGGACCGCGCUUCGGCUAGGAUGCUGGCGUAAUGGUCUU